rnacentral:snRNA from 1 species
AAGCUUUCCAGGCAGCACAUGUACUAAAAUUGGAGUGGUACAGAGAAGGUUAGCAUGGCCCCUGGACAAGGGUAACGUGCAAACUCAUGAGACAUUUUGUAAUUUUUU